rnacentral:rRNA from 1 species
CCUUCACAAUGUGCGAAAGCGCGAUGAGGGGAUCCCAAGUGCUUGCACGUUAGUGUAAGCUGUUUCUUUGUCUAAAACGCAAAGAGAGGAAGGGCUGGGUAAGACGGGUGCCAGCCGCCGCGGUAAUACCUGCAGCUCAAGUGGUGACCGUUAUUAUUGGGCCUAAAACGUCCGUAGCCGGUUGAGUAAAUGCUUGGGUAAAUCGUGCCGCUUAACGGUACGAAUUCCGAGUAGACUACUUAGCUUGAGACCGGGAGAAGCUAGAGGUACUCCUGGGGUAGGGGUGAAAUCCUGUAAUCCUGGGGGGACCACCAGUGGCGAAGGCGUCUAGCUAGAACGGGUCUGACGGUGAGGGACGAAACCCUGGGGCGCAAACCGGAUUAGAUACCCGGG